UCCCUGGAGGACUAGUAGUUAGGCCACAGCGCUCUCACUGCUGCGGCCCGGGUUCGACUCCCGGCCAGGGAA
rnacentral:tRNA from 1 species